GUGUCAGCAGCCGCGGUAAUACAGAGGGUGCAAACGUUGCUCGGAAUCACUGGGCAUAAAGCGCAUGUAGGCGGUCUCCUAAGUCUGGUGUGAAAUCCCUCGGCUCAACCGGGGAACUGCAUUGGAUACUGGGAGGCUUGAGAGUUGUAGGGGUGGACGGAACUCCAGGUGGAGCGGUGAAAUGCGUAGAUAUCUGGAGGAACACCGGAGGCGAAAGCGGUCCACUGGGCAACUUCUGACGCUGAGAUGCGAAAGCUAGGGUAGCAAACGGGAUUAGAAACCCCUGUAGUCC
rnacentral:rRNA from 1 species